rnacentral:siRNA from 1 species
CCAUCGCUAGUUGCUCCUCCAAA